AACGAACGCUGGCGGCAUGCCUAACACAUGCAAGUCGAACGAGAUCUUCGGGUCUAGUGGCGCACGGGUGCGUAACGCGUGGGAAUCUGCCCUUUGGUUCGGAAUAACAGUUGGAAACGACUGCUAUACCGGAUGAUGACGAAAGUCCAAAGAUUUAUCGCCAGAGGAUGAGCCCGCGUAGGAUUAGCUAGUUGGUGUGGUAAAGGCGCACCAAGGCGACGAUCCUUAGCUGGUCUGAGAGGAUGAUCAGCCACACUGGGACUGAGACACGGCCCAGACUCCUACGGGAGGCAGCAGUGGGGAAUAUUGACAAUGGGCGAAAGCCUGAUCCAGCAAUGCCGCGUGAGUGAUGAAGGCCUUAGGGUUGUAAAGCUCUUUUACCCGGGAUGAUAAUGACAGUACCGGGAGAAUAAGCUCCGGCUAACUCCGUGCCAGCCGCCGCCGUA
rnacentral:rRNA from 1 species